UGAAAAAGUGAUACCCCUUACCUUAGCACGUGACUAGAUUCUGCUUCCUAUAACAUUAAUCAACUAGAACAAUGCUUGCACUCCUUAUCAACACUUGGAGUAACCUUACACUCAAAAGAAUACUCACAAUAUUAUAGUAGAAGAAUAUUAUACUUUUAGUGUAGUGAUGGUGGGUGUUUAGUUGCUCAACCGGACAACCUAUUUAUACUCAAAAUUGAGAAAAUAAUUAAUACCACGCGCUUUGACAAAAUAACCAAAUGAGCUAUAUAAAAUAAUAUUGGUAGUGGAAUUUGUGGUUCCAUAGAGGAAAUUAAACCAACUUAUACACGUUUUAACUAAAUUUAUUUAAUAGUAGAGUUGUGAACCAUACUACUUUAGGAAAAG
rnacentral:lncRNA from 1 species